UACGAAGGGGGCUAGCGUUGCUCGGAUUGACUGGGCGUAAAGGGCGCGUAGGCGGUUCGUACAGUCAGACGUGAAAUUCCUGGGCUCAACCUGGGGGCUGCGUUUGAUACGUGCGGACUUGAGUGCGGAAGAGGGUCGUGGAAUUCCCAGUGUAGAGGUGAAAUUCGUAGAUAUUGGGAAGAACACCGGUGGCGAAGGCGGCUCUCUGGAACGGUACUGACGCUGAGACGCGAAAGCGUGGGGAGCGAACAGG
rnacentral:rRNA from 1 species